rnacentral:rRNA from 1 species
AACACAUGCAAGUCGAACGGCAGCGCGGGGAGCUUGCUCCCUGGCGGCGAGUGGCGAACGGGUGAGUAAUGCUUGGGAAUCUGCCCUGUAGUGGGGGACAACCCGGGGAAACUCGGGCUAAUACCGCAUACGUCCUACGGGAGAAAGCGGGGGAUCUUCGGACCUCGCGCUACAGGAUGAGCCCAAGUCGGAUUAGCUAGUUGGUGGGGUAAAGGCCCACCAAGGCGACGAUCCGUAGCUGGUCUGAGAGGACGAUCAGCCACACUGGGACUGAGACACGGCCCAGACUCCUACGGGAGGCAGCAGUGGGGAAUAUUGGACAAUGGGGGCAACCCUGAUCCAGCAAUGCCGCGUGUGUGAAGAAGGCCUGCGGGUUGUAAAGCACUUUCAGUAGAGAAGAAAAGCAUAGGGCUAAUACCUCUGUGUCUUGACGUUACCUACAGAAGAAGCACCGGCUAAUUCCGUGCCAGCAGCCGCGGUAAUACGGAAGGUGCAAGCGUUAAUCGGAAUUACUGGGCGUAAAGCGCGCGUA